GAGGUGGCUUCCGGCCGCCAGGCGAGACUCCGCGGGAAAACUCCCUGCUAGAGAGACUAGGAGAUUUGGGGCUGCGGCCGUUUCCUCCGGAGCACCCACGGGACUGUGUGCUGGGGUCCCUCCACCGGCUGUGUCCUUUAUUCUUCUUUCUCACCCAACGAUUUACCUGAACGGUUAUAAAGUGCACGUUAUUUCCCUAAGCACUUUGAGUAUAUUGGCCCACUGCAUUCUGGACUUCAAAAUUUCUGAUGCGAAAUAUGCUGAUACUUUUGUUGAAGAAAUCUGGGCUUUGAGCAUCUGUAAGAUAUUUGUUGGAAGGUUUUGUCUGGUCCUUCUUACUGAUGUGUUGCUCUUCUUCAUGGCUCGUGAAAACUAUUAGAGUCAUCCAAGGACUGUGAAGACAACCAGAGUGGGAAGGAACCUCAGAAACCUUUGGACCAACAGAGGAAAAAGCCCAGAGGUGCAGGACAUAGAUCAAAACCAGUCGCAUGCGAGUCAUUCUAGGAUCCGGCCAAAGUUAAUUAACAGAGGGCCAUUCAGUCUCCACCGAGUCAAACAAUAAUUAGGUUAGUUAGGGUCUUUGAGCCCCAACACAGUCUAGACUCUGAGACACUGCAAUAUAACAAUAUUCUUCUGGUUUCUUCUCCAUUCCAAAUCUAUCUUCCUAAAAUACUAAAUUUUAAGAGUGAAAGUGAACUUGUGAACAUAAACAGGUAAAAUGUGGGUGUGUGUCCAGAAUGGUGACAGACAGGGAGAACUGCUGAAUAUAACUUAUCAGAACCUUACAAACUGGCCUUCCCUCAUGAUCCACCUAGGGUUUCUUUUUACUAGUCAGGUUCCACAGGAAAAUGUGAGAACUUAUACUUAGGGAAGAAAGACAUUACUCAGGUCCCUGCAAGGCUGGAAAAUGGGAAUGAUUCUCCACUUUCCCCUCCAGAUUUAAGCACUACAAAGACUGUCAACAUCUCUUGGCAUUUUGUACAGUACAGAGAGAUAGACACCCUACAUUGUGUAAUGUUUAUAUUUAAUAUCAGUGCUGCUUUCCGUCUCCAUUGAGUUCCCACAUUCAGCUCACUCACAGCGCUCCAAAGGCCUAGGAUAAGUGACCUGUGUGAAGACAUGGGGAGGCGGUUCUGGAGCACCUUCAGGUACUCCUCAGGAACUGAUGUUUUUUCACUUGUUGUUUGCCUAAGGCCAAGUUCUCUUUACCCGAAGGCAUCAUUCAGCCCCCCUUGCUAGGUAAUAAAGCACAAUAUUUUGUAGCGCUGGUCA
rnacentral:lncRNA from 1 species